GACAUAGUAAUGGAUAGGACACUACUCUUGAAGUGAGGAACAUCUGGUUCAAAUCCCACCUUUGAUACUGUGUGACUAUAGAUAAGUCAUUUAACUGCUCUAUGCCUCAGUUUCCUUAUUUGUAAAAUGAAGGGGUUGGACUUGACGUUCUAUAAAUCCCCUACUCGUUCUAAGUCAAUGAUCCUAUGAUCCAUGCUCUGGGAUUACACGGAUUGGUUAUAAACUUGAACACUACUCCAACAGGCAUACUCCACAUCCUGCAUAAACACUCAAGCUAACAAAUAUAUUUAGUGGGCUAAGUUUAUUCUAUCAUACAGAAGAUGCAGCAAACACAAAGGUUUCACAAAAAUCCAUAAGCAAUGCAGAAAAUACAUAAGUUCUCAGUGGUAAAUGUAGUUCCCUUCUCUCUCUGGUAAGUCCAAUUUCUCUCCCAAGUCUCUAAUGUCCUAUACAUGAAUACCAUCACACUGAAGUUUGGACUCCCAUCAGAAGGGAAAUUGAUUUAGGACUUUUACAUAGAUAAUACCGCAGCAUUCCCAUGAGGAGUACUUUCAUUCUACAAAGGUGCAUAUAGCUAUUUGCCAUCUGGUUGCACCUAGUAGAUAUCUCCACCUGCCUCACCCAGAGAUCUCUUCACUCUGUAUUAUUACAGCAAAGGAUUCUGGAACUCACAUCUUGGCAAUAUGCUUUCCGGAGGCCCUUCUGACUGAAUGGAGGUGCAGAGAGCUCUUUCCACAGCAUCUAUUUAAGGAGAGUGCCCAGAGGGAACAGUUGUUUUCUUUUGAACUUCUCCAUCACACUUUUACACUGGAAACCUUCUCUCCCCACCCACAUACCCCUUCAUUGUCUUCUCCUGCUAGACUAGAAUAAGGAGGCCUAAGGAGAGUGAGAGGUUGGUGGAGCACACAUUUAUCCAUUGAGUUUGCCAUCCUCUAUUGUGUGUUUCAUGACACCUCAAAACAAUUACAAUAGUAACAUCAAAGAUCAUUGACCGCAGAUCAUCAUGACAGAUAUAACAAAUUUGAAAAAGUUUGAAAGAUUUUGAGAAUGACCAGAAUGUGACACAGAGUUGCAUGCUGUUCGGGAAAUGCUAUUGGGAAGACUUGCUUGACAAAGGGCUCCACAAACCUUCAAUUUGUAAAAAACAACCCUGAAAAACAAAAUCCUCCAAACAGUAAUAUCUGGGAAGUGCAAUAAAGUGAAGGACAAUAUAAUGAUGUAUGCCUGC
rnacentral:lncRNA from 1 species